UACGGAGGAUGAGAGCGUUAUCCGGAUUUAUUGGGUUUAAAGGGUGCGUAGGCGGACGCUUAAGUCAGCGGUAAAAUUUCGGGGCUCAACCCCGACAAGCCGUUGAAACUGGCUUGCUAGAGUGGGCGAGAAGUAUGCGGAAUGCGUGGUGUAGCGGUGAAAUGCAUAGAUAUCGCGCAGAACUCCGAUUGCGAAGGCAGCAUGCCGGCUCCACACUGACGCUGAGGCACGAAAGCGUGGGUAUCGAACAGG
rnacentral:rRNA from 1 species